AGCAGCCGCGGUAAUUCCAGCUCCAAUAGCGUAUAUUAAAGUUGUUGCAGUUAAAAAGCUCGUAGUUGAAUUUCGGGGUCAGUAGGCUGGUCGUGCCACAGGUACGUACUGGUCUCACUGAUUCCUCCUUCCUGAUGAACCGUAAUGCCAUUAAUUUGGUGUUGCGGGGAAACUGGACUGUUACUUUGAAAAAAUUAGAGUGUUUAAAGCAGGCUAACGCUUGAAUACAUUAGCAUGGAAUAAUGAAAUAGGACGUUCGAUCCUAUUUUGUUGGUUUUCUAGGAUUGACGUAAUGAUUAAUAGGGAUAGUUGGGGGCAUUAGUAUUCAAUUGUCAGAGGUGAAAUUCUUGGAUUUAUUGAAGACUAACUACUGCGAAAGCAUUUGCCAAGGAUGUUUUCAUUAAUCAAGAACGAAAGUUAGGGGAUCGAAGACGAUCAGAUACCGUCGUAGUCUUAACCAUAAACUAUGCCGACUAGGGAUCGGAUGAUGUUAAUUUUUAAUGACUCAUUCGGCGCCUUA
rnacentral:rRNA from 1 species